CCUACGUGAGGCAGCAGUGGGGCCUAUUGCACAAUGGGGGAAACCCUGAUGCAGCGCCGCCGCGUGAGUGAAGAAGUAUUUCGGUCUGUACAGCUCUAUCAGCAGGGAAGACAAUGACGGUAACUGAUUAAGAAGCCCCGGCUAACUACGUGCCAGCAGCCGCGUUAAUACGUAGGGGGCAAGCGUUAUCCGGAUUUACUGGGUGUAACGGGAGCGUAGACGGCAGCACAGGUCUGGAGUGAAAUGCCGGGGCUUAACCCCGGAACUGCGUUGGAAACUGUUCAGCGAGAGUGCAGGAGAGGUAAGUGGAAUUCCUAGGGUAGCGGUGAAAUGCGGAGAUAUUAGGAGGAACACCAGUGGCGAAGGCGGCUUACUGGACUGUAACUGACGUGGAGGCUCGAAAGCGUGGUGAGCAAACAGGAUUAGAUACCCCAGUAGUC
rnacentral:rRNA from 1 species